rnacentral:rRNA from 1 species
AAAGAUUAAGCCAUGCAUGUCUAAGUAUAAGCAAUUAUACGGCGAAACUGCGAAUGGCUCAUUAUAUAAGUUAUCGUUUAUUUGAUAGCACCUUACUACUUGGAUAACCGUGGUAAUUCUAGAGCUAAUACAUGCUGAAAAUCCCGACUUCGGAAGGGAUGUAUUUAUUAGAUUAAAAACCAAUGCCCUCUGGGCUCUCUGGUGAUUCAUGAUAACUGCGCGAAUCGCAUGGCCUUGCGCCGGCGAUGGUUCAUUCAAAUUUCUUCCCUAUCAACUUUCGAUGUUUGGGUAGUGGCCAAACAUGGUUGCAACGGGUAACGGAGGGUUAGGGCUCGGCCCCGGAGAAGGAGCCUGAGAAACGGCUACUACAUCCAAGGAAGGCAGCAGGCGCGCAAAUUACCCAAUCCCGACACGGGGAGGUAGUGACAAUAAAUACUGAUACAGGGCUCUUUUGGGUCUUGUAAUUGGAAUGAGUACAAUUUAAAUCCCUUAACGAGGAACAAUUGGAGGGCAAGUCUGGUGAACGUUGCUGGUGCCAGAGAGAGCCGCCCCUCCGUAAAACGUGCGGCUAGUCGAGUGCUCGCGUCAGUGGCGGGUGAGCACCGGCGAGACAACCUGGGUCGGGGAAGGCUAAGGGCCCCCUGGGGCCUAUGCUGAUCCCGAGCAGAGCCGCGCCGCGAGGCCGGCCUGUGUAGAGCGCGCCAAGGUGUCGGUCCGGGGGGGGGGUUCGCACCCCCCGGGCUUAAGGUACGUGCCAAUCCCCUGCGAAAGCAGGGCCCUGCGGACGGAGCACCCGUCAUGCGAAGCCGCAGGGGGCAGGGGCGCCCCGGCGGGCGCCCCCGCCGUGAACGACAGUGGCCAGCAGCCGCGGUAAUUCCAGCUCCAAUAGCGUAUAUUAAAGUUGUUGUGGUUAAAAAGCUCGUAGUUGAACCUUGGGCCUGGCCGGCCGGUCCGCCUCACCGCGUGCAAUGGUCCGGCCGGGCCUUUCCCCCCGCGGAACCCCAUGCCCUUUACUGGGCGUGGCGGGGAAACGGGACUUUUACUUUGAAAAAAUUAGAGUGCUCCAGGCAGGCCUAUGCUCGAAUACAUUAGCAUGGAAUAAUGAAAUAGGACGUGCGGUUCUAUUUUGUUGGUUUCUAGGACCGCCGUAAUGAUUAAUAGGGACAGUCGGGGGCAUCAGUAUUCAAUUGUCAGAGGUGAAAUUCUUGGAUUUAUUGAAGACUAGCUACUGCGAAAGCAUUUGCCAAGGAUGUUUUCAUUAAUCAGGAACGAAAGUUAGGGGAUCGAAGACGAUCAGAUACCGUCGUAGUCUUAACCAUAAACUAUGCCGACUAGGGAUCGGACGAUGUUAUCUUUUGACUCGUUCGGCACCUUACGAGAAAUCAAAGUGCUUGGGCUCCAGGGGGAGUAUGGUCGCAAGGCUGAAACUUAAAGAAAUUGACGGAAGGGCACCACCAGGGGUGAACCAGCGCACCGCACUGCCGCAGUCGCUCUGCCCCUAAGAGCAGCCGGAAAACCGGUCGGGUGGGCUCUUGGCCGCCAUGGCCGAAAACGCAUGCUAGUCGCCCCGGGCAGGGGCGGCGACACCCUCAAAUUGCGGGGACUCCCUAAAGCCAACCGAGACCAAGCGGCGCCCGAAAGGGCCCCGUGGCCGAGCUAGCAGCCCUGGGUAUGGUAGAACGUCGGUUGGAUGAUAACAAUGGGUGAUCCGCAGCCAAGCGCCUAACCGGCAGGUUGCCCCCCCCCGGGGGGCGCCGUCGCCGCAGGGCGAAGGUCCAGAGACUUGACGGGGGUGGGUUCGGCCGCCGGGCGGCCGGGCCUAAGGUAAAGUCCGUCCGGGCGUGAAAGCGCCACGGAGCCCCUAAGAAAACGGGAGCCUGCGGCUUAAUUUGACUCAACACGGGGAAACUCACCAGGUCAACUGUCUGGGCCUGGAAUAGUGGCGAGGCCUUUUGUGCCUCUCGCCCGCUAGUAUCGAGACUCAUCCGCGUGGGGAAGCCCCCGUUGUCGGGCGCGGAGCGGUGGCCGAAUGGCUGGCCGUAGUUCGAUGCGACACCAGCUGGAACAGGGGACGCCUCCCUGCGGGAAACCGCAUAGGCCAACCCUGUGGCGAGCUCAGGUUGCGCUGAGCCGUUGCAACGCGCGCUAAGCGGUGGGCCGGGCUGCUAGAGACAGCCCGGCUUAAGGUACGUGCUAAUCCCACGGGAAACCGUGGCUCCCCUGAAUAGGCCCGACACGCCGAAGCAGCGGGAGGUGGGCGGCUCGCUACGGGCCGGCCCGCGUGUUUGGUUGCGGUAGCUUCGUAUACGUAUACUCUACGUGCGUAGCAGUUACCGCGACACGGAUGAAUGCCAGACACAAUGAGGAUUGACAGAUUGAGAGCUCUUUCUUGAUUUUGUGGGUGGUGGUGCAUGGCCGUUCUUAGUUGGUGGAGUGAUUUGUCUGCUUAAUUGCGAUAACGAACGAGACCUUAACCUGCUAAAUAGCCCGUGCUGCUCCGGCAGCACGCCGGCUUCUUAGAGGGACGAUCGGCUCAAGCCGAUGGAAGUUUGAGGCAAUAACAGGUCUGUGAUGCCCUUAGAUGUUCUGGGCCGCACGCGCGCUACACUGACGGAGCCAGCGAGUGCUUCCUUGGCCGGAAGGCCCGGGUAAUCUUGUUAAACUCCGUCGUGCUGGGGAUAGAGCAUUGCAAUUAUUGCU